UGAGGAAUAUUGGUCAAUGGACGGAAGUCUGAACCAGCCAAGUAGCGUGCAGGAUGACGGCCCUAUGGGUUGUAAACUGCUUUUGUAUGGGGAUAAAGUUAGGGACGUGUCCCUAUUUGCAGGUACCAUACGAAUAAGGACCGGCUAAUUCCGUGCCAGCAGCCGCGGUAAUACGGAAGGUCCAGGCGUUAUCCGGAUUUAUUGGGUUUAAAGGGAGCGUAGGCUGGAGAUUAAGUGUGUUGUGAAAUGUAGACGCUCAACGUCUGAAUUGCAGUGCAUACUGGUUUCCUUGAGUACGCACAACGUUGGCGGAAUUCGUCGUGUAGCGGUGAAAUGCUUAGAUAUGACGAAGAACUCCGAUUGCGAAGGCAGCUGACGGGAGCGCAACUGACGCUUAAGCUCGAAGGUGCGGGUAUCAAACAGG
rnacentral:rRNA from 1 species